AUGUUCUGUGAGGCUUUUGGAGCAGGUCAAAAUGACAUUCUAGUGGAACCAGGGGACACAGUCACCCUUGGCUGUGACAUUACCCUGGAGUACGAGGUCAUGUGGUUUGUUCUUCGUCCUGAUGCCACUCUUUCAGUAGCCAUCACUAUAAAGACAAAUACACCCCUGAGCCUCAACAAAAGGUUUGAUGGUCGUUUCGAGUCAGUGUAUAACACAGGCCUGUUCCGAAGCAAUCUGAGCAUACUGAACAUCUCAGAGAGUGACGUGGGUCUGUACUACUGUGUUGAGCAGAGGGCUAACAUAUUUAAGAUCGGAAGUGGGACCAAGCUCUCCCUUAUCAGUGGUGGUGAGUAA